UAACAAGGAUUCCCCUAGUAACGGCGAGCGAAGCGGGAAGAGCUCAAAUUUGAAAGCUGGCGCCUUCGGCGUCCGCGUUGUAAUCUCGAGACGUGUUUUCCGUGCGGCGCUAUGGACAAGUCCCUUGGAACAGGGCAUCGUAGAGGGUGAAAAUCCUGUACUUGCCAUGGAUGUACCGUGCUUUGUGAUACACGCUCUAAGAGUCGAGUUGUUUGGGAUUGCAGCUCAAAAUGGGUGGUAGACUCCAUCUAACGCUAAAUAUCGGGGAGAGACCGAUAGCGAACAAGUACCGUGAGGGAAAGAUGAAAAGCACUUUGGAAAGAGAGUUAAAAGUACGUGAAAUUGUCGAAAGGGAAGCGCUUGAAGUCAGCCAUGCUGCGCGGACUCAGCCCGGCUGAUGCCUGGUGUAUUUCCCAGCAGCAAGCCAGCAUGGAUUUGGGUCGCCGGAGAAGGGCACGAGGAAUGUGGCACUUCGUGUGUGUUAAGCCUCGUGCUGGAUACGGCGAGCUGGAUCCAGGAACGCAGUGUGCCUCUGGCGGGUCUUCGGACACCUUCACACUUAGGAUGCUGGCGUAAU
rnacentral:rRNA from 1 species